AGCAGCAGCCACGGUAAUACGAAGGGGGCUAGCGUUGCUCGGAAUGACUGGGCGUAAAGGGCGCGUAGGCGGAAUGUACAGUCAGACGUGAAAUUCCUGGGCUCAACCUGGGGACUGCGUUUGAGACGUGCGUUCUAGAGUUUGGAAGAGGGUUGUGGAAUUCCCAGUGUAGAGGUGAAAUUCGUAGAUAUUGGGAAGAACACCGGUGGCGAAGGCGGCAACCUGGUCCUUGACUGACGCUGAGGCGUGAAAGCGUGGGGAGCAAACAGGAUUAGAUACCCCUGUAGUCCCUGUCUCUUAUAC
rnacentral:rRNA from 1 species